GGUCCCAUAGCUCAACUGGAUAGAGCAACUGACUUCUAAUCAGUAGGUUCGGGGUUCGAGUCCUCGUGGGAUCGCCA
rnacentral:tRNA from 2 species